UACGGAGGGUGCAAGCGUUAUCCGGAAUCACUGGGUUUAAAGGGUGCGUAGGUGGCCCGAUAAGUCAGAGGUGAAAGCCCGUCGCUUAACGAUGGAAUUGCCUUUGAUACUGUUGGGCUUGAAAUAGGUUGAGGUAGGCGGAAUGUGACAUGUAGCGGUGAAAUGCAUAGAUAUGUCAUAGAACACCAAUUGCGAAGGCAGCUUACUGGACCUUAUUUGACGCUGAGGCACGAAAGCGUGGGGAUCAAACAGGAUUAGAUACCCUGGUAGUCCACGCCCUAAACGAUGCUUACUCGAUAUCUGGGCUUCGGUCUGGGUGUCCAAGGGAAACCGAUAAGUAAGCCACCUGGGGAGUACGCGCGCAAGCGUGAA
rnacentral:rRNA from 1 species